AGCGGCUCUCCCAACUUGCUCGAGUUGGGUGACGUCCUGGAGAGGAAUUGAAGGACCGGAUGGUCCAGUUUCGAUGGCAACCCCGGGGUCUCACCCUUGGGUCCUCUUGAGGUUCUCUCAUUGGCUUACAAAAGGGAGAUUAGAAGACUUGCUUUUUCAACCUUCCCACAUCUAAAGAUGCUGAAAAAGAUGAUACUGACAUCAAUAUCAAAGCAUUCUCUGACUCAGACUGCAGUGCUUCUUGAGACCAAGGAUCAAGUGUUCACCGCCAUUUGCCCAGCACCUGGCAAAAUGCCUGACACUUACAUACUUCUGGAAAACGUUUAUCAGUCCGCUUGCAGCUAGGAUGAGCUUCGUGACUAGUUCUCACCAAUGGAAAGUAGGCAGAAAUGAUGGACCUACCUCCAGGCCUAGCCCAUAAAAUACUGGACUUAGCUUCUCCCUCACUCUUUCAGUCCCUUCAGUUGGAUGCAGAGGAAUCAGUGGAGGAUUUCAAGGCCCGAGAAGAUACUAGAGCCAUAAGAUAGGAAAUGCUUGGAGCUUGAAUCGCCUGAAUGACUGUGUAAACAUCCACCAACCUGAUCCCAAACAAUUCAUGUUGGACUGUGACACGAAUAAGAAAUUAUUGUGUUCAGCCAUUGAAUUUGGAUUCUUAAUCACACUCAAAGCCUUAUAUUCACCCAUCUAAGGGCUGGGAUAAAAAGCACUUACACAGCUUGGCCCACCCAAAUGGUAAGGGCCUAAAGCAGCAGGUACUCUUGUAGUGCUGACCACGGGGCUUCUCUGUUUCCCACCAUUUCCUCUGUGACACAGACCUAACCUGGGACUUGGCCAGUGCUGUCCAUGAGGGAACUAGGGAGUUGCAGUUCCUUAUGCACAUGAGGCCCCCUGUUCUAGUUCUAGUGAUGGGCACUGCUACUUAGCCUGAGUUCCGGUGCUUUUUGUAAAGCUUAGUCCUGCUUUUAGAGUUUUUAGUUUUAUAUUCCAGGAAUAGACCUUGCUUUGCUUUUGCUGGAUCCUGCACCAGAGCUAUAAACCCUCCUCCAGAGGCCAUUCCACACUGAUUAACCAUGGUAAGCAGGAAAAGCCAGUUUUCUGCCUGUUUGGGAUCUUGUGUCUUAUCUACCUUCUUUACACCCUGCCUUCCCCAGUCAUGUUGGGAAACCGUAUUGUACCCUGGUGCCCUAGUUGGCAGACCAAGUAUUUAGUUCAACUAUGUCCAUUUUUCCUGUGUUUCACUGAGGCCCCUUUGAGCUUUGGGGUGUCAGAGCCUUUACUUUCAGUUGGGCCCAUGCCUACCUUUCACCCCCUGAUAUGGCUGGGUCUGGAGCCAGGUGUCCUCUUGACCUUUCUCUCCAGCCUAAAGUAAGGAGUAGGGCCUCACAGAGAAGUUCUGAGACAGCGCAGUUCAGAGGUCAUCAAGGUAUUUUGCUUUUCUAUUGACGUUUAAUAUUUUAGUGAUGCUUUUUGUGACAAACGUGUUUUAGUUGUAGAGCAUCACAAAUACAUUAAUGGUUUGUAUUCAUGCCUUGUAUUUCUAUAAGAUAUAAAUACACUGCAUUUUAGUGCA